CCCAUAUCUUGCUACCCUCCUCGUCGUUGCGGUCAUCGCCAUCGUCUCUGCCACUAUGCUCUUCUAUUGUGCUUGUCUUUGGUGGUCUUUCUGGUCCAUCACCAUUGCGGCAACUCAAGACGACACAACCUCUUGAUGGCCGAUGAUUCGACAUCUCAUUUCAGAUCGAAAAGGUCCUCUGCUCUAUUCUAUAUUAAAUUAUGUUAGGAUUUGACACCUCGAGAUUCAGUCCACAUUGAGCCCACAGCGAGGUUCGCGGCGAAAAACGGAGUCCAACGAGACCAAGAUCAUCCGAAACGGAGCUCG
rnacentral:lncRNA from 1 species